AGGAAGGUGGGGAUGACGUCAAGUCCUCAUGGCCCUUAUGGUAGGGCUUCACACGUCAUACAAUGGUCGGUACAGAGGGUUGCCAACCCGCGAGGGGGAGCUAAUCCCACAAAGCCGAUCGUAGUCCGGAUCGCAGUCUGCAACUCGACUGCGUGAAGUCGGAAUCGCUAGUAAUCGUGGAUCAGCAUGUCACGGUGAAUACGUUCCCGGGUCCUU
rnacentral:rRNA from 1 species